rnacentral:lncRNA from 1 species
AUUAUAUAAAUUUGGUGAAACUUUAGAUACUUUCAUUCUACAAGAUUCUUGGAAUGACUUAUAAUUUGGGAUGGAGAGAGUAUAUAUUUUUGCCCUAAUUUUAAUGGGCCGGCAAGUCCAAAUUUUGGCUUGCCAUGAUUUUGGUUGGACAAGAAUUAAAAGCCAACCAAAUAGACCUUAAGUCCUCACAAUUUGAAUUUUUUUAAACAACCUCAAAUAGAGAAAUGAAAAACUCUCACCGUGAGAUGGGAUCAAAACGGACAAAAACAGGCCGAAAAACUCCUCUCCUAUUUCUGUUCCUAUAUUUUUAGUGAAAAUGAGAUUAGGUUCAGAAAAAAAAAGAUUUAAAACUGAUUGGGACAUACUGUAAUACGGAAACAGACAAAUACAGAUGGAAAAGCCGGUAAAUUAAGUUAGAAUAACAUGAUCAAAUAUUCUCAAGUAUACAUAAACAAAGUCACAAAAUAAUAUACAAGUACGAAGUUAUCGGUCCAAUAUUCACUAGCAUGACAAUGUGCACUACGGAAUACCCAUGCUUUGCCGAGUGUAUGUGGCACUCGGCAAAGGCGUAAAAACACUUGGCAAAGCCUUUGUCGAGUGCUAUACUUAGCAAAGACCACACGACAAAAUUUUAACCGGUAAAACAGUUUUUGCCGAGUGCUAUUUUUCGACACCUCGACAAAAAUAAAAACGAAAAAAAAUCCAAAAAAAGGAAAAAAAUUGCAGAAGGCCACCCGCCAGCUAAGUUCUGGAAUUUUUUUGCAUCUUUAAGGCCCAUCGGAUUCGAACUCGUGACCUCGCGUGUCUCCGAUGUUAACCAUUGCACCACACUAUGACUUGUGUUUAUAUUGCAUUUCGAUUCCUCAAAUAUUAUACCAAAUUAUGUGUAAAUUGAUUAUUUGAGGUCCUAAAUAAUUUCAAAUUAAAAAGUUGUCAACUACAAAGUUUUAUAAGUUUUUAGGAUCUACAAUUUUUAUUUAGAGAGUUUCUCCAUCCG